GGCCUCUAUCCUAUGGAUCAAAGAUGCAAAUUUAGCCUCUUCAACUAGGGAAGGUUGAACUUGAUAUACACCCCCUCUUGAAGGUGUGAGUCUAUCGGAUUCCCUAGUAAUCUCCCAUUAUAGGUUCUUCUCUGCUAGGUCCUCUAGAAAUUGUUAGGCUUCUAUAGGCUCUUUAUUCAUAAAUUGAUCCUGACACGUUGAUUCUAAUAUGGUUCUAGAGUUUAGAUCCAAUCCUUCAUAAAUAAUUUGGC
rnacentral:lncRNA from 1 species